rnacentral:rRNA from 1 species
CCUACGGGAGGCAGCAGUGGGGAAUAUUGCGCAAUGGGCGAAAGCCUGACGCAGCGACGCCGCGUGAGGGAUGAAGGUCUUCGGAUCGUAAACCUCUGUCAGCAGGGAAGAACGGUCACUGUGCUAAUCAGCAGUGAAUUGACGGUACCUGCAAAGGAAGCACCGGCUAACUCCGUGCCAGCAGCCGCGGUAAUACGGAGGGUGCGAGCGUUAAUCGGAAUUACUGGGCGUAAAGCGCUCGUAGGCGGUAUGUCAAGUCAAGGGUGAAAUCCCCGCGCUCAACGUGGGAACUGCCUUUGAAACGGGCAAACUGGAGUGUGUGAGAGGAUAGUGGAAUUCCAGGGGUAGGAGUGAAAGCCGUAGAUAUCUGGAGGAACAUCAGGGGCGAAGGCGACUAUCUGGCACAUAACUGACGCUGAGGAGCGAAAGCGUGGGUAGCAAACAGGAUUAGAUACCCCUGUAGUC